UCCCAGGUCAGCCGUCAGGCGAAACUACCAGGCGGAGUGUGAGGUGCAGGAGUCCUUGUUGGUGUGCUGUGGAAGGGCAGUGCCCAGAGUUUAGGUUGGAAAUGUUGCAGUGUUGCCUCUUUUUUGAGUGUGCAGAAAACGAUGAGAAGGACAGAAAUUUAGGAAGCUUCCGUACGGAGGCAAGGUCACUUCGUGCGCUCAAACGGGUAGAAAAAAAAGCCUGACAGUGGGAGAAGCGCAUGCGUCUACGUAUCGGUAGACCGAAUGAACUGCUCAAGAGAGAAGCGCAUGCGUCUACACAUUGCUAGACCGAAUGAGACGCUCAAGAGAGGCCAGAUUUCUCUGUAUUCCGUUUUCCCACCGUUGUGGAAGAAGCGUCGGGGAACCUGGUGACCAACUGUAAUUCCGUUGGAUUAGUUGGCUCAUCGUAAACCUCAUUACCUUUCUUCUUUUGCGCUACUGUAAAAGGUGUAAGGCACCGCUCUGCUGCCAUCACCGGUUUGCACGUUAAGAAUUUGAGAGUCUGAUUAAUUUCCUUUAAACAACGGAAAAUGUCAAUCUGAGCACACAUGCCCUCUGACAGAAACCAGAAGGGGAAAAAAAGAAGGUGUGACCCUUCUAAGGUAAUGUAAUUAUGCAGAUUCCCUCAUUAUCAAUGAAUGCCAUUAUUUCAGGAGUGAGUUCGUUAUUAUAGAAGAGGAUUUGUUAUCACAGGCAUGGGUUCCUUAUAAAAGGGUGAGUUUGACCCACUCUUGCUUUCUUUCUGCUUUCUGCCUUUCACCACAAGGUGAUAACAGCACUAAGACCCUCACCAGAUACCAGCCACACAAUCUUUGACUUCCCGGUCUCCAGAAUCAUGAGCCAAUACAUUUUUGUUCAUGAUAAAUUACCCAGUCUUUGGUAUUGUGUUACAGCAGCUCAAAAUGAACUAAAACAAUAUGCAUAGUAAGUUACAAGUAAAUUGUCAAAUGAUGAAUUAUGUAUUAGAAAGUAAUUCUAAGCUCAUGGUAUGUAUGCAGAAAUUAUUUCUAUUUCAAGAUUUAUUUUAUAGCACAUAUUACAAAUGUUCAUUCAUACUGUCUCCAUCAUCUGUUUAAGUUUACAUAUGGCAAAAUAGUCUUUUCCGUACCCUUAAUCUGACCUCUAAGAUUAUGCCUUCAUCAUGAUUUA